AGAUUCCUAUAAAUGAUUAGUUAGAUGAGGCUUAAUGUCAUGGUUGUCUUGAGAAUUUAUCUUCUUCUAAUACAUCGUAUGCAUAUAAUGAGUUGGUGGAGUUGUAAAAAAAGAAAGAGAGUCGAGAUGUUGCUCUUCAUCACCACUGCAAGACCACCACUAACAGAUCAAAGAACCUUGUUCCUAGUUUGUUGGAGAAAUAAUUUAUGACAAAGAGAGGAGCAUAGGAGAAA
rnacentral:lncRNA from 1 species